ACUAUAUCUUGAAACUGUUAGAGGGCUGCUUGUUAAAGUUAGCAGCACCUCAAGUCCCUUUUUGCUUGAUGCUCAUUAUCUUCAAACAACUGUAUGUGCUGAUAGGUAUUGGAAAAUCCUCUAAUCAUAAUCCAUGAAAAGAAAAUCUCAAGUAUUAAUGUUGUGGUUAAAGUAUUGGAGUUGGCUUUGCAGAAGCAAAGGCCUUUGCUGAUUGUCGCCGCAUAUGUGGAGAGUGACCUUAUUCUAAAUAAGCUUCGUGCUAGAAUCAAGGUCUGUGCAAUCAAAGCCCCUGGUUUUGGUGAAAAUAGGAAAUCCAGUCUCCAGGAUCUUGCCGUUCUCACUGGGGGUUCUAUUAUUACUGAGGAGAGGAGCUUGGUUGAAUCUUGACAAAGUGGAAUUGAAUAUGCUCGGCACUUGCAAAAAGGUCACAAAUUCAAAAGAUGACACUGUAAUUCUUGAUGGUGUUGGUGACAAGAAGGUUAUUGAUGAAAUAUCUGAACAGGUUACUGUUGCUUCAUUGUGAAAUAGUGUUAGUCCAAUUUGUAACUGGUGUCAUCAAUGGUUUGCAUUUUGUUAUAUAUUUCAAAACAAAAGUUAUAAAAGAAAAUGGUUUUCCUCUUUGUUAA